GGUUGCAGUGAGCCGAGAUUGCACCAUUGUACUCUAGCCUGGGCGACAAGAGCAAAACUCUGUCUCAAAAAUAAAUAAAUAAAAUUAUAUAUAUAUAUAUAUAGACACACAUACCCUAGGCAAUUUACAAUGAAACACCCUUGACAACUUAUCACAUUUACCACCAUGGUUAUCAUUCUCAUGUCAUCGAUGAGGAUGCUGAGGCCAGUUGGAUUGCUGCAUUUUGCCUCAAGUGGACUAGGUGGCAAAUGGUCUGGUGAUUCCACCACCCCAGGUUGCUGGUGAAAUAACGAACACACAUCCUUGAAGAGGACUGUCCAUCAUUCAACGGGGAUUCAGCGGGACACCAGCCUCCUAUCUCUUCAAGUUGGUACCAACUUGUUCAAUUUUUGGGCUGCCUACGAUGGUAAAGGGGUCUUUAUUACAAGACCCCAACCAGAGAAACAAACAGUUCUGUGACUUGAUCAAGGUCACAAAGCUAAGAAAGAGGCAGAGUUGGGAUUCAGUCCCAGGCUUGUGCGCUUAUAAGGCAUGACCACAGCACCAUGACAUGGACAUCUAGGGGCUGUCGUGUGAUUGCCUCACUGGAGAAAGGGAGUCAGAGGCUCAUGCUCCUAACUGAGGAACUGAUAGUAGAGACGGGGUUUCACCGUGUUAGCCAGGAUGGUCUCGAUCUCCUGACCUUGUGAUCCGCCGGUCUCGGCCUCCCAAAGUGCUGGGAUUACAGGCUUGAGCCACCGCGCCCGGCCUCAAGAAGUAAAUUUGGGAAAGGGAGCCUGCAGAUCACCCCAAGGAAAAUCCAGACUGAUUUGAUCAGUCCUAGCUGGAAGCAGCACAGGAAUAGCAUGAGGCCUGUGACUCAUUUUAAGCAAACAUCCAGUAAUCCGACUGGUAUCUGGUUCAAAUGGGGAAACCUCAAGCACCUAUGACAGGCCUGGCCCAGAGAAGAUGCUGCCCAGAUGGAUACAGCGCCUCCUCCCGAGACCCUCCCAGGCUGAGGAGGAAACGCCAAGAACAGUGUUAACUCUGUCCAAGAGCCCCAGAGCCCCAGGCCAAUUGCUGUGGUGCUUUGCAUCUUGCUGUGGGCACCUGCUGCAGGGAAAGACUCAUGAAGUAGCAUUUGACAUGGGCCUUGUAGGAGAAGGAAGGUGGAAUGAGGAUCCACAUCUCAGGAACUUUGAGAACUGGGAGAGUUACACUCUGUCUAGAGCUUCAGUUUUCUCAUCUCUGAGCUGGGAAGGGUGGUAAUCAUGCCCACUUCCCUUUUGGUGGUGAAGAUUAAAUGAGCUGUGUGUAAAAGGAUAUGGCAUGAUCUGUUUAUUCAUUUAUUUAUUUUGAGAUGGAGUCUUGCUCUGUUGCCCAGGCUGGAGUGCAAUGGCACGAUCUUGGCUCACUGCAACCUCUGCCU